CCUACGGGUGGCAGCAGUGAGGAAUAUUGGUCAAUGGGCGCGAGCCUGAACCAGCCAAGUAGCGUGAAGGAUGACUGCCCUACGGGUUGUAAACUUCUUUUUUAAAGGAAUAAGGUGAGGCACGUGUGCGUUUUUGUAUGUACUUUAUGAAUAAGGAUCGGCUAACUCCGUGCCAGCAGCCGCGGUAAUACGGAGGAUCCGAGCGUUAUCCGGUUUUGUUGGGUUGAAAGGGAGCGUAGAUGGGUUGUUAAGUUAGUUGUGAAAGGUUGCGGCUCAACCGUAAAAGUGCAAUUGAUACUGGCAGUCUUGAGUACAGUUGAGGUAGGCGGAAUUCGUGGUGUAGCGGUGAAAUGCUUAGAUAUAACGAAGAACUCCGAUGGCGAAGGCAGCUUACUAAACUGCCACUGACAUUGAUGCUCGAAAGUGUGGGUAUCAAACAGGAUUAGAUACCCCUGUAGUC
rnacentral:rRNA from 1 species